UACGUAGGUGGCAAGCGUUGUCCGGAUUUACUGGGCGUAAAGAGCGCGCAGGCGGUCGGAUAAGUCGAAUGUGAAAGCCCCCGGCUCAACUGGGGAGGGUCAUUCGAUACUGUUCGACUCGAAGGCAGGAGAGGGAAGUGGAAUUCCCGGUGUAGUGGUGAAAUGCGUAGAUAUCGGGAGGAACACCAGUGGCGAAGGCGACUUCCUGGCCUGUUCUUGACGCUGAGGCGCGAAAGCUAGGGGAGCAAACGGG
rnacentral:rRNA from 1 species